GCCGGUAUGGUCUAGGGGUGAAGACACGUUUUUAGUAAGAGCGGAACCAAGGUUCGAGUCCUUGUACCGGCU
rnacentral:tRNA from 1 species